rnacentral:tRNA from 1 species
GCUGAAGUAGCUCACUCGGGAAAGCGUUAGACUGAAGAUCUAGAGAUCCCUGGUUCAAUCCCAGGCUUUGGCA